GCUUCCUUCCGCAAAAUAAAAAUUUUUACAGAAGCUACAUUUUUUUUAAAUUAAACCAUGCUUUUAUGUGUGUGAUAAGCUUGUACCUACUUAUCAUUCAAAAGUACUGUAAACAGAUGACAAUAAUGCUCUUUCAUACAGGUUCGUUAUUCCUUACAUUUCUAGCUCUCUACCUUAAUAACUUUUACGUCUUUACGAUAGUAAUUAUUAAAAUAAAACUUAACUUACCGCAAACUGAACACCUAGAAAUAACACACUGGCAAACUCUUGUUCCUUCACUUUCGAUAGGAGAUAAGACAAGAUUUUGUUUUUAAACUCGAUUGAUUUCAGUAUCUAAACAAAAUUUCUAUCAUUUAGCACUUCUUUCAUUUAAAUACAAUAAUACCGCCGCACGGAUAUCGGGCUCGCACUGACAAUACAUACUUCGCUCAUCUUCGUGUUUCGGGCGUCAUCGGCGCUCAAUCGUGGAUCAUCGAUUUUCUCCAUUCAUCAGUCCGAUUUUGCUUCCCACGUUGAGAGGCUGCGCGCACGCUCCGCGAAAUCUAGCUCGUAUUUAGAAUUCCUAGACGGAUCUUUAGUUAACAAAGAUCUUCGGUCAUCGAAUGUGCAAAUUUGCGAUUUUUGAUUGUUUUCUCGUGCGGUUUUGAGUAGUUAGUGUGUGAACGUGUGAUAGUGAGUGUGGUAAUAGUGAGUGAGUGUUAGGAAUAUGCCUAACCAUACGUACAGUGCUCGUGAGUAGAUACGUAAACAUGGUUUACUGUUACGGGAGGGCACGUGGAAACGCAUCUGAAGUCGCAUCGGUAAGUACCUAACUCUAAACUUAAAGGACAUUCCUUUUUAAUGUAGGAAGUGAAUAAUCUGGUAAUUUUGUGUAGAAAAUACUCCCGCCGUCGCGGUAGGUAGUGGCGGAAAGCGCUCCAAUACACUCACACACACAUAGGAAACAGCAAACUAAUUUAAAACGAACUUUAACU